UACGUAGGGUGCGAGCGUUGUCCGGAAUUACUGGGCGUAAAGAGCUCGUAGGUGGUUUGUCGCGUUGUUCGUGAAAACCGGGGGCUUAACCCUCGGCGUGCGGGCGAUACGGGCAGACUUGAGUUCGGUAGGGGAGACUGGAAUUCCUGGUGUAGCGGUGAAAUGCGCAGAUAUCAGGAGGAACACCGGUGGCGAAGGCGGGUCUCUGGGCCGAUACUGACGCUGAGGAGCGAAAGCGUGGGGAGCAAACAGG
rnacentral:rRNA from 1 species